AGUGAACGCUGGCGGUAGGCCUAACACAUGCAAGUCGAACGGCAGCACAGUAAGAGCUUGCUCUUACGGGUGGCGAGUGGCGGACGGGUGAGGAAUACAUCGGAAUCUACUUUUUCGUGGGGGAUAACGUAGGGAAACUUACGCUAAUACCGCAUACGACCUACGGGUGAAAGCAGGGGAUCUUCGGACCUUGCGCGAUUGAAUGAGCCGAUGUCGGAUUAGCUAGUUGGCGGGGUAAAGGCCCACCAAGGCGACGAUCCGUAGCUGGUCUGAGAGGAUGAUCAGCCACACUGGAACUGAGACACGGUCCAGACUCCUACGGGAGUCAGCAGUGGGGAAUAUUGGACAAUGGGCGCAAGCCUGAUCCAGCCAUACCGCGUGGGUGAAGAAGGCCUUCGGGUUGUAAAGCCCUUUUGUUGGGAAAGAAAAGCAGCAGGUUAAUACCCCGCUGUUCUGACGGUACCCAAAGAAUAAGCACCGGCUAACUUCGUG
rnacentral:rRNA from 1 species